rnacentral:lncRNA from 1 species
GUCCAGAGCUAGUAACAGCCACAGCAGGGACAAAGCCACCUGGGCAGCUGCUGGAGCCACUGGGAGUCACAGGUAAGAGAGGGCACUGUGGGUGAUGGCCCAAGAAGGUCCCCUGAUUCCACAGGGAUUUGGGAUUUUUUUUCCCUAAAGAAUGGGCUUUUGCCCCUUCUCUCCCUGUAGGCUGAGCCCCUGGGCCUGCUUCCUGUGCUCACUGCAAACCCCAGGUGAAGCCCCUCGAUGACUAAGCUGCCAGAUCUACAAAUCAGGAAUGGGGUCCCAGGCUCAGCAGCUCUUCUCCUGCCCCUGGGAGGAAGGAGAAGCAGAUAAGGGCCCCAGGAAGUCCCAGGAAAAAACAGAGACCAGCUGGAGGAAGGGAAGGCCCUGGAAGGCCUUGAACCCUGCCACCUCCGCCCCUCCUGGGAUAAGGUUCCAACACCCCACGGAUGGGCCCAGGGCCCCCCUGCAACUUCUCCACCGCCGCCCACCGGUGCAACGUGGGUGGCCUACCGGCUGCAGUGAUCAUCAUCCCAACCCUGCUCUCCUCGUCGUCUCUCCUGAUCAUCAGCUUCAUCUUAUGGAAAACUUGCCGCCGGUUGUCCCGGGUCACCCAGCCCCGCCUGCCAUCCACAUGAGGGGCCCAGGUAAGCCACUUAAGCACCUUCAGCCCGGGGGGGGGGGGGGGCGGGGAGGUUCUAGAUCAGUUUUAUUCUUUGUCUCUCAUAAGAGAAGAAAUUCUCCUUAUUGUCUUGCGGCAACAAGGGAUGAUGUACUGAGUUGGAUAAAGCCUCACAGAGGCCACAGCCACAUGUGUGGCCUCACAGUCUCCUGUACCUCUGUCCAGGUGCUGCUGGAUGUAAUCAUCAACUCCGCAGGUCAAGGAAGCCCAUUCAGCAGCCCCCGUAACUGUGGCUCUGGGUGA